UACGGAGGAUCCGAGCGUUAUCCGGAUUUAUUGGGUUUAAAGGGUGCGUAGGCGGUUUGAUAAGUUAGAGGUGAAAUGUCGGGGCUCAACCCCGAAACUGCCUCUAAUACUGUUGGACUAGAGAACAGUUGCGGUAGGCGGAAUGUAUGGUGUAGCGGUGAAAUGCUUAGAGAUCAUACAGAACACCGAUUGCGAAGGCAGCUUACCAAACUAUAUCUGACGUUGAGGCACGAAAGCGUGGGUAGCAAACAGG
rnacentral:rRNA from 1 species